UGGUGCCAAUGCGUCCGAUCAACGGCUUGCGUUCGGGUUCAUCAUGCUUCUUAGGUGGCAUAUUGUUGUCCAUUUUGUGUACGUACGAACCUGCUGCUGCUGCUGUUCCGAUUAACUGUUCAACUAGACACAAUUAUUAUUGUGCACUCACGAUAAAUAAAAGAAAACAAACAAACGAACUUUUACGCAAGUUCUUUAAUAUAUUGAAUACAAUCAAUAUAAAAAUGUUUUGCUGUUUAGUAGCACGUCUGUUGACUGCGGCGACCGACCACCUCGUUGAACGAUACAGCCAGAAAGAGAGAGAACGAACCACAAACAGCUGUCAGCUGUAAGCAAUAGUAUGCAAUAGCGCCGCCAGCGGUUAAGCGUCAAACCAAAUGCUGUUUGUUGUGAGUUCUGUGUGUAUGUGUAGCAGUCAGCUUGUGUUCGCUAACCUUUCAAAUGUUAGUUUACCAUACAGCCGUUGGAUGGCGCAUGAAAUAAGCGCGUAAUUUGAACAUUUUAAUUGCACAAGUGAAUAACAUACCAGCGUGAUGUGAGACUAUCAAACGACAGUGAGUAUUCCAAUUGUAUUUAAUAUUCGAGCUUUAUUUUAUUUGUUAUUUUUCGUUUUGCCGUCGCUACGAAACAAGCUGCUGCGUUGUUGAAAAUAUAAUAAAUAUGAAAGCAGCGCUGUGAAAGUGAAAGAUACAUUCGUGUGGACGUGCAUCAGAUUGUUAAAUAUCUUCAGGAAUUUUGCAGCGCAACUUGUGUGGAUGGCUCGUCGUGGGAUCGAUCAGCAACGGUGCAGCAUAGUAACAUACUAUACUAUAUAACUGUCAAGGUCACUUUGCAGACGCACGUACACACAAUUUACCGAGUUAGUGAAAUGCCCAAGAUAAUCAGUAAUUACGCAUAAUUAUUAGAUCGAUCGAUUUAUUGCACACUGAAACGCAACCAGAUCCAGAUCCCCCAAAUGAAACAGAGAGAGAAGUAGAGAGACGGCGACGAAGAAGGUCUCUCCAGUUUGUG